CGGUCUAUAGGCAGGUUUACACAAAACGCGAGCCGCCUCGAAAUGAAUUACCUCGCGAAGCGGCACGUACUGUGUAAAAAUUGCUUCUGUAAUUUUAGUUUAGCUCGAAGUCAUAGAUUACUUUUUAGUGUUCCGCACAAAACUUAGUUCACGGAACACUUAUAGGAUCAAUUCGGUCUUGUUUUUUGUUAAAAAUAACUAUGAUAUCCUCGAGCUCGAUGAAUCGGAUAAGGAUCAGAACUCACUGCACCUUAAUGCGGCGUAUUAACAUUUAAAAUAAUUGACCCAAAGUCACACAUUAAUAAAUGUGGACUUAUCUCUUGCCUCACAGACUAAUACUUAAUGUAACUGCCCACAAGAUACUCAUUACAACUAGUUUGAGACUUGGAAUCAAGUCACAUUAAAUGUCUAGUAUUAGUUCAGAAUCCUUGAUGAUUUUCACAGUAUUCUAAUGUACCGAGUGUCAAUGAUGUACCAAGAUUUAAAAUGGCAUGUAAAUUCAAACAAUUAUGUGUGUAUAUGCCCAGACACUGUCAGUAAAAUUAAUAAACUGGGUUCGGUAUCCUUGGACAAAGAACCAAAAUAUAAAAACACAUUUUGUAUUAUUCCGUGACUGACGAGUAUGAGUUAAAUUCCUUGGUACAUCUUUCUAAGAGCAAUAUAACCUGAUAUUAUGUUUACGUAUGAUUUUCCCCAUACGUAUUGCUCAGAAAAUGUAAGACCAUUCUAAAGGCAAUCAUGUGACCUCAUAUUAGAGUAACAUUAUGUAAGAUAAAGUGCUCAUUGUUUGGUAAUUUUGAAUUAUUAGCAUUAAGUUGUAUAUAUUUUAAUUUUCAAUGCUGCUUCUAAACUUUGCCCUUUGAUUGUAAUUUGUUUGCGUUCUAAUAUGUUUGCCAAUUAUGAUUUAAAUUUAAAUCUGAUGUCCUGUUUGUCAUUUUCAUGCAUUUUAAGAUUGGUGUUUAUUUCGAAGUCGUGCGUCCAGCAAAAAACAAGGCGCUAUCUUUUCCUCUUUAGAAAAGAGAGUGGACGACAUACAACAUAUACAAAUUGAAAUAUUAGAACACUGAGAAUAAUCUUUGCAGAGGGCGCCUCUAGGAACAUAAAUAAUAGAAACAAAACUAAAUCAUCAUCACCAAACACCUGCCAUGGCGCAUGGGUUAGACUAAAAACCACCACGGUCUGUGAGAACUUUCAUAUUAAAACAAUUGGUGAAUUAAUUACAUUUACCUAUUUUCGGUUUAUAAGAAACAGCACGCUGACAGAUAAAUGGACAGCGGAGGCUUAAUGAUAAGAACAAAAAUAAACUGCUGCAAUCUCGGACUUAACCCGGAGGCGCCCUCUGUUGUGAGCAAUUAUCAAUUUUUAAUUUGAAUGUAACAUUUUGGUCCAACUGCCGAAAAUGUAUACCUUUUAGUAUAACGCUAGUGUAAGGAGAAAUUACGAAAUAGUCUUUAAAUAUAUAAAAUAAGUUACCAUUAAAGAAUAAAGUACUUACUUGAAUGUUAAACUUACUAAAUGUAAUUCGAGUCCAUUUCAAUAUUUUUUAUAAAUAGAUUUUUCCUGUAUAUUUGUUUCCAUUCGAUGUCAUACUUACAUUUGUCUUCUAAUGAUCUGUACGUUUUAGCUGUUUUAUGAAUUAUCAAAGUUUUCAAAGUAAUUGUAAGUAUUUAAUGAACCAUGAAACAGUACAAAUUUUUAGCAAAUUAAAUGUAAAGAAUUGUGAAAGAAAAUGUUAAAUUCAUUACAGUUUAUGAGAAAUAGCUUUAGUCGGCUGUAUUUAUUCAUGUAUGGGCAUAUUUUUAUUAUAUUAAUAUUAAUAAAUGGGUUUAAAAUAGUACAAA